AAUAAUUUAUUUGAUGGUUUCUUACUACAUGGAUAACUAUAGUAAUUCUAGAGCUAAUACAUGCGUAAAGUCCCGACUCUCGCGGGGAGGGAUGUAUUUAUUAGAUAAAAAACCAAUGCAGGCUCUGCCCGGUUUUGUGGUGAAUCAUAGUAACUUUUCGAAUCGCAUGGCUUCACGCCGGCGAUAGUUCAUUCAAAUUUCUGCCCUAUCAGCUUUCGACGGUAGUGUAGUGGACUACCGUGGCGUUAACGGGUAACGGAGAAUUAGGGUUCGAUUCCGGAGAGGGAGCCUGAGAAACGGCUACCACA
rnacentral:rRNA from 1 species